UUUAAAUGCCCUCACUCUAUUAAAGUCACGGAAGAAAAAUGUUUGAACUAAACUUUAAAUUUCAUGAAUAUUCCCUCUCAAUAUUAUAUUUUAUCUAUGAUGUAAUUGUAUCAGAGGGUCAGAGACAGGACCGGCUUUAGGUGAGAUAGCGGCCGGUGCGAGUAUGAAAAAAUUCGACCCUUCAUAGAUUUUUAUUUCAAUUAUCUCUGGUUAUUUUUGAUGGUCUCCAAAACUUAUUGAUCAUUCUACAUUCAGUUUAGAACAAUUUAUUAUUGACAAUUUACACACUAUUUCUCAAUAGUUAAAACUGUUCGCUGAAAUUUAUCGGAAAAAUACAUUUUUAUUGAGGUACAAUGUGAAAUUAUAUAGGCUACAUCAAGUGAAAUUAACUUUGCGUGCUUUGACCUCUUCAAAUUACUGGAUGGUUUUGGAGAAAUCAAGUUGAGUUCCAAUUUCGUUUUCGAUCGACAGCAACGCCAAAGAAUUCAGUUUUGUGUUGGACAUCGUGAAUCUCAAGUACGUCUUGAUCAGUUUUAGUUUUGAAAAACUUCGUUCUCAAACUCGGGUAAAGUCAGCAUGAUUCGGAGAGCAGCUCAAAUAUUAGAGAAGACGUCAAUUAUCUUAUUUUCUACAAUGAAUUUCAAAACUUCUAAUGAACGUUUGAUUGUAUCAGGUUUUAUGGUUCGGAAUAGUUUUUAUUCUUCAUACAGUUCCCUCCCGAUGUCCGAGUCAUUUUCGGUCGUGAGAGUAGCACUUAAAUCUUGACAUACUGAUAACAAAUAAGAAUCUUUUUCAGCUGAAUCUUCAGAGUUCUGCGUUUUUAGUAAAGGAGAGAAUUCGUAUAAAAAUCCCCAAACUUGGUCGUGACUUUUUAGCUACUGAAAUCGUUCAUUAACAGAAGUUGAAGUAGUAUUAACCAAAGCAAGGAAAAAAUCUCUUCGAAAUUGAUUUUCUGGUGUAGCAUCUGCAUCAUCUUAACUUUUGUAAUCGAACAUUCUUCUUCUACGGGAUGACGUAUAAAGAAAUGGGUCAAUCGAAAGAUUCGUUCAUUGACAUAUGUACGCAUAAGACGACAUUAUAGACCACAAAGUUUGAAUUUAUGAUACUUAUUGCAGAAUACUGUUUUCUCUGUUUAUGAAAGCGAUUUUCGAAAAACGAAAGGCAAACUUAUUCGAUGUAGGCGAACCUUCAGGAGCUACAGAAAGUGGCGGUAUUGAUGGCAUUACAAAUCUGCUGAUUUUGCAGAUUUCUUUAAUCUGUCGAAGACAAAAAGGAUUGGACUUGUCUUAUUUUUCUUCCAACCAAUGUUAGAUCUCCCGUACAUGAUGUUGUGGACACAACAUACGCACAAUUAAAUGAACGUUUUUUGGCACUAGUUGGACCAUCAAUGUUUAAUCAAAACGAUAAUGAAGUAACCAAUGAAGAGGCUUCGUUAGAAUUAUGUCGAACAAAAU